rnacentral:rRNA from 1 species
GACGAACGCUGGCGGCGUGCCUAACACAUGCAAGUCGAACGGAAAGGCCCUGCUUUUGUGGGGUGCUCGAGUGGCGAACGGGUGAGUAACACGUGAGUAACCUGCCCUUGACUUUGGGAUAACUUCAGGAAACUGGGGCUAAUACCGGAUAGGAGCUCCUGCUGCAUGGUGGGGGUUGGAAAGAUUCGGCGGUUGGGGAUGGUCUGGCGGCUUAUUCGCUUGUUGGUGGUGUAGUGGCUUACCAAGUUUUUGAAGGGUAGCCGGCCUGUGCGGGUUACCGGGCACAUUGGGACUGAGAUACGGCCCAGACGCGUACGUUCAGCAGCGGGGGGGAGGAUGACCCACUGAACCGGCGCCUGAUGCAGCAACGCCCAGUGCGGGAUACCGGCCUUCGGGUUGUGAACCGCUUUCUCAUUAACCAAGGAGGGCAUGACGGUAAUGGAUAAAGAAGCACCGGCUAACUACGUG